rnacentral:rRNA from 1 species
UAAGGAAUAUUGGACAAUGGACGCAAGUCUGAUCCAGCCAUGCCGCGUGAAGGAUGAAUGCCCUCUGGGUUGUAAACUUCUUUUAUAGGGGAAGAAAGAUACUUUUUUUAAGGUAGUUGACGGUACCCUAUGAAUAAGCACCGGCUAACUCCGUGCCAGCAGCCGCGGUAAUACGGAGGGUGCAAGCGUUAUCCGGAUUUACUGGGUUUAAAGGGUGCGUAGGCGGGCAUGUAAGUCAGUGGUGAAAUACCGGAGCUUAACUUCGGAACUGCCAUUGAUACUAUAUGUCUUGAAUAUUGUGGAGGUCAGCGGAAUAUGUCAUGUAGCGGUGAAAUGCAUAGAUAUGACAUAGAACACCGAUUGCGGAGGCAGCUUGCUACGCAAAUAUUGACGCUGAGGCACGAAAGCGUGGGGAUCAAACA